rnacentral:rRNA from 1 species
CGAAGGAGUCACAUGGCUUCAUCGCCAAAGAUUUAUCGGUGAGGGAUGGACCUGCGUCUGAUUAGCUGGUUGGUGAGGUAACGGCCCACCAAGGCAACGAUCAGUAGCCGACCUGAGAGGGUAAUCGGCCACAUUGGAACUGAGACACGGUCCAAACUCCUACGGGAGGCAGCAGUGGGGAAUAUUGCACAAUGGGCGCAAGCCUGAUGCAGCAACGCCGCGUGAGCGAAGAAGGUCUUCGGAUCGUAAAGCUCUGUCCUCAGGAACGAAGAAGUGACGGUACCUGAGGAGGAAGCCCCGGCUAACUACGUGCCAGCAGCCGCGGUAAUACGUAGGGGGCGAGCGUUAUCCGGAAUUAUUGGGCGUAAAGAGUACGUAGGCGGUUCUGUAAGCGUGAGGUGAAAGCCCGGGGCUUAACUCCGGUAAGCCUUUCGAACUGCAGGACUUGAGUGCUGGAGGGGAAAGUGGAAUUCCUAGUGUAGCGGUGAAAUGCGUAGAUAUUAGGAGGAACACCAGUGGCGAAGGCGACUUUCUGGACAGUAACUGACGCUGAGGUACGAAAGCGUGGGGAGCAAACAGG